rnacentral:lncRNA from 12 species
AACCAAGCUUCAUCAUGGCAUAUACUGAGCGGGUUUGGUCAAUUCCAAGGAGCACCAUUGGUAGGAGUUGAAGUCCAAUGCCAAAAUGACCCAAAGAAAGAUGGCAUGUUUGCUGGAAUAAGCCCAAACCCUCCCUGGGAGUAUAUAAGAGAACCAGGACAGGGCAGGGCACAUUCUACUCAAACGGUGAACAAGUACACAGCGUGCCGGCCACGAAUUCUUUGUUAUGCCAUGUUGGGGUUCUCACCACUAUCCCUGACUUGUUUAGUUUUGUUUUGAGUGAUUUAAUCCUUUUGGUAGGGUGGCCAAGGACUCUUAAUUUUUGAGAGUGUGCCAGGAACAUUCAAAGGUUGGGAGCAGCUGCCCAUAGGAAUGGAAGGCAGGGUUAUUUGCAGGGGUUUGGCCAGAUGUCCACAGAUGCCAAGACCAGGAUACACCGGUUUCAAGCACUCUGAACUCUGAUGGUGGGCUAAGGUUUUGCUCAAAACUUUCUCUGGGUUUCUCGUUGUCAUUAGAGUCAAGCCCCAAACUUGCCAGGCUCUGGGUUCCUGCGCCUGCCCACCUCCCCCUCCUGUACACUCUGUUCUCACCAUACCCUCCUUACUCUUCCUGUCUGUUUUGUUUGAUCCCCGAUCCUCAGAGCCUAGCACGGUGCCUGGCAUGCAGUAGGUGUUCACCAAGGUCUACGGAUUGAAUGAGGGAGUUUUUUGCAGCUCCCAGUGCGUGCGUUACAGGCUCGUCUCCUUGCCCUGUCACAGCUGCCAUGCAGGAAGGCUGAGACAAGUCAGACCAGGCCCUGCCUGCCAAGGAUGCACAGCCCGGAGGAGGAUUGCAGCCUGUCUGUUGGUUUCUAUGGGAUGAACCGCUCUGGCUCACAGGACUUGUCUGAAGAGACAGGCAGCGCCAGCUCCGGCCGUCACCCUUCCGCUCUACUCGUCACCUGCCGCCGCAGAACCUCCCCGGGGGCUGAGUUCUCCCCAAUCAACCAGUGGCUCCCCCAUUUCACAGUGGCUGCAUCAGCAUCAGGUAACUGACCGCCUGUCUCUGCCAAGCUGCCUUUGCUUGUCUGCCUCCAGUGACGGGGAGCUCAUUACCCAACAAGGUAGGCCAUUGUGUCUGUGCAUAGCUCUGACAGUUCGAUGCCCUUCCUUAAAUUGCCUUCUGGGGACUUUCGCUUUCGCUCAGUGGCUCAGAGAGGAGAUAAGGGAGUCACCCCCUUCUGUCUACUGUGUGCCAGGCAUUGGGACCAUAAAGAAGCAUAAAACAGCCCUUC